CAGUCGCCGCGGUAAUACGAAGGGUGCAAGCGUUAAUCGGAAUUACUGGGCGUAAAGCGCGCGUAGGUGGUUUGGUAAGAUGGAUGUGAAAUCCCCGGGCUCAACCUGGGAACUGCAUCCAUAACUGCCUGACUAGAGUACGGUAGAGGGUGGUGGAAUUUCCUGUGUAGCGGUGAAAUGCGUAGAUAUAGGAAGGAACACCAGUGGCGAAGGCGACCACCUGGACUGAUACUGACACUGAGGUGCGAAAGCGUGGGGAGCAAACAGGAUUAGAUACCCCAGUAGUCCCUGUCUCUUAUAA
rnacentral:rRNA from 1 species